UAUGUACUCCCUCCGUCCGGAAAUACUUGUCAUCAAAAUGGAUAAAAGGGAAUGUAUCUAGACGUAUUUUAGUUCUAGAUUCAUCUCUUUUUAUCCAUUUUGAUGACAAGUAUUUUUGGACGGAGGGAGUACUAC
rnacentral:pre_miRNA from 1 species